rnacentral:misc_RNA from 1 species
GAUGAAGAACGCAGCGAAAUGCGAUAAGUAAUGUGAAUUGCAGAAUUCAGUGAAUCAUCGAAUCUUUGAACGCACCUUGCGCCUUUUGGUAUUCCGAAAGGCAUGCCUGUUUGAGUGUCAUGAAAUCUCAAUCCUCCUAGGUUUUUGACCUGGUUGGACUUGGACAUGGGCGUCUGCCAGCAAUGGCUCGCCUUAAAUGACUUAGUGGAACAUCCCACAUCAGUGUUAGACGUAAUAAGUUUCGUCUCUCCUUGUGGUGAUGACUGCUCAUAAUCUGCCAUCGCGCACUUUUGACUUUGACCUCAAAUCAGGUAGGGCUACCCGCUGAACUUAAGCAUAUCAAUAAGCGGAGGA